CACAUACACUACUGUAAGUCACUUUGGAUAAAGGCGUCUGCUAAAUGGGAUAUA
rfam:Salmo salar isolate Sally breed double haploid chromosome ssa19, whole genome shotgun sequence.